rnacentral:rRNA from 1 species
UACAUGGGGUGCAAACGUUGCUCGGAAUUAUUGGGCGUAAAGCGCACGUAGGCGGUUUGUUAAGUCGGAUUUGAAAUCCCUCGGCUCAACUGAGGAAGUGCAUCCGAAACUGGCAAGCUUGAGUACGAAAGAGGGUCGCGGAAUUCCCGGUGUAGAGGUGAAAUUCGUAGAUAUCGGGAGGAACACCGGUGGCGAAGGCGGCGACCUGGGUCGAUACUGACGCUGAGGUGCGAAAGCGUGGGGAGCAAACAGG